rnacentral:lncRNA from 1 species
GGGUAACUUCCCGCUGCCCGGAACGGAGUUUCUCCGUUACCCACGGACAUCCAGGAGGCCGUGUGGAGGGCAAGCAGGGUAACCCCCACUCCUAAACCACCUCUAUCCAAGGGGAGCCCGAGGAGCCAGCAGGUCCGGACACUCUGAGGAGGCUCCUCGUGGGGCCUCCCACGCACAGGUGCUGAGCUGGGCCAGCGGGUAUCUCCAGGCAGCCUCUGCUAAUGAGCUCUUAGCAGGUAAACAGCUCUUCCUUGACCCCCUUCAGGAUAUGCAAGAGACAGGACCGACCUGAGCUGGCACGUGGCUGAGAAGCAGAAAUCAUCCAGUCUACAGCCUCUUAAUGUUCUCCCAGCUGGGACCUCUCUGCUCUCUGUGGCCGGGGCCUCAGGACCUCCUGGAAGAGUGGGACAGACCCAGGUUUGGGGAGCAGGGCUGCUAGGAAGCCUUCUACCUGUAUUCUGGAAGAACUUAGGAAGAAGGGUCACUGUAGUUGUUUAAGACCAUAGAGGUUGGGGGCAGGCCAAAUGGGGCUGGCCUGGAGCCUCUACCUUUCUUCAUCAUACCAUAGUAUCUGCUGAUGCUGAACAGAAUCCAUGCCUUCAGCCCAGAGCUGUCCAGUGACAGCCUCUUGGGGGGUGGGGUGGGGCUCUUGGUGAGUCCCCAGGAGGAGUUGGGGUUGUUAAUGCAGUGGAAUCCAGGACAUAGGAGAUGCCUGGGUUGACUGACUCCCAGUCAUAGCAGGAAACUGUAAAAUCCUCCUCACAGGACAGGGGAGGAGACAGAUUCCAGCUGCCCCCGCAUGCCAGAGCACCAACCGCUCUGUUCCUUACAAGCCUGCCAGGUGAGAAUGCGAUUGACACGGGGUGGGUAGAAGCGGGUGCAACUGGGGCUCCUGUCACCUGGCUGCCUGAAUUUAUCCUAAGGCUCCCCCUCUCUCCCCUUCCCUCUCCCACCCUCCUGCUCUCCAGGUCCCAGCUCUGCUUCCCUGACCCCAUCUGCAGUCGCAAGCAAGCCCCAGCCCUGGAGGGGCUGCACCCUGCAACCUUCCCACAGCUGUCUCCUUUGGAUCUUUUUGCGGUCUGGGCUUGCUGUUCUCUCGACAGUAGUCAGGAAGCCCUUACCCCAAAAAGUAUCUACGGGAGGCUUGGUCUACAGGGGAGACCCCCAAGGGCUCCAGGUGAGUCACACCAAACUCAAGACUACCAUGUGGAUCCAGGGCGUCUUUGCCAUACCUUAGUAUUGCUGGGUGACCAUGGAUCAAGCCCUAAGCCUUAAGUUGGCAAUCUUCCUAAUGCUGUGACCCUUUAAUACAGUUCCUGAUCUUGUGGUGAUCCCAGCCAUAAUAUUGUUUUGAUGCUACUUUGUAAUUGUAAUUUUCUACCAAUAUGAAUUAUAAUGUAAAUAUCUGAUAUCAGGAUAUAUAUGACCCCCAAGUGAGUCGUGGCCCACAGAUUGAGAACCACUGUCCUAAGACAUUCUGUGCCCCAGUGACCUCAUACCUUUCCUGAUAGACAAUGUUUAGUAGGAGUGGCUUUAGUCAAAGCCAGCGAAGGCCACUUGGGUAGAUGUUGCUGGCUAUCAUGGGCACACCUCUCAGGGCUGUCACUCAAUAUGCCUAGCCCUCCUUCCUGGCAUUGGGUAGACAUGAGAUCCAAGACAGGCCUGGCUAUUGGAAUCCUGGGCAGAGGGACCUGUGACUGGGAACACCACAGUUGAUCCCAGCAGCCGAGUGAAGAUGGUAAGCCUCUGCGGCAGGAUGAGGUGUCUGCCUGCCGUCCCUUAGCCUGAGUCAGUCACCAUGACCCCCUUUCUCCUGUGAGUCACUACUAGUCCUUCAAAUAAAAUCCUUGACUGCUCAAGUUAACUGAACGGAUAUCAUUACUAACCUCUGAUUCACCGCCAUCUAGAGGGAGGAGGGGGGAUUGCACACGCUAGAGAAAGGGGGCCGACUUGGGGGAAAUCUGCGGUCAGUCAUCCUUAGAGGAGGCGUUGAGGAGAGUCCAUACACAAGGCGUGAGGUAAAAUCCAGGGGAACUUUCUGAAGCUCCGUGUUGCAAUAAAGAGCAGAGGACUGACAUAGGAACAUUUAAAGACCCCGCGUCCUCAGUUUCCAAAGGUGGUAAGGACAGGUGAUGACAAUUGCCGGUGGUGGCUCCUGCCAGUGUAAGGGAGUUGGGUACAACUCUGCAGCUGUGGUGAGGCACGUCAGGUAUGGCCACAUGGGCAUCCAUCUCAUUCACCUGUGCCCCCACCCUACUUCUGUGCUUCCUGGUUCUAUGCCGUUCCUUAUCUGGAUCUCUCUGCUCUUUUUACGCCCAGGUGCGGGAUGGGUGGGCAACCCUGGACAAAGAAUGGGGUGUCAAUCUCAUUGCUAACAAAGUCACAGAUCUUGAGAAACAAAAGCCCCCAGAAGGUUACCUCCCUGUGCAGAACCACAGGAGGCAAUUCUAAGGGGAUAUGUACGCUGGUGUGUGAGUCUCGCCGAGUUCAAGGGUGGCAAGGGAGCCUACGUGGGGCUGCUGGAGUGUGCUGUGGCAGUUCAGGAAGGAGAGCUGAGUUCACAGGUCAGAAGGGAGAACUGCAGGUGUGGGGGGUGAACGCCACCACCUGGAGACAGGAAGACAUCGGCGGAGAAGGCACGACAUGGACAGGCCACAUUACAAGGCUGACUCAUGACCACAGGAGCUCAGGGUCCCGAUGCUCUCUGACUUCUCAAUUCUGGCCCCAACAAAGCAGGUUUGCUAGGCCACGGUCCCCAGCAUGCGGGUUGGAACGGGAUGCGUAGCUCAAGGGCGGCAUCGUGCGGUCAUCUUGGGGAACUUCACCCUACAUCCUCUAUUGAGUGAGGGUAUUGCUGUCUGACUCUGGAGGACAGCAGUCUUUCCUUGCCGGUUAGGGAUUUCUGUGCCAAGCAGUCCCUCCCCAAGAGCCGCAGAGCCUGGGGCGAGGUAGAGGUAGGUGGGAAAGGAUGCUUAUAUGGGGCGCCCUUCACUGAGGUUGUUUACAGUUUGCUCAUCACCCGGAAUAAGUCACCUCUCAAAAUGGGUUUUCUAGGAACACAGCCUGGACAUUUGACUGCCCCUUGCUCCUCAGUCGAGUACCUGAAGUCUCAGUUUGGCUCCCUCGGGGAACUGCUCCCAUUAGAGGGUAUCUUUUGGAAAAGACUUCAGCUCCUAACGUUCAUAGGAAGAACCCGGACUUCCAAGACAGUCAGAUCCGUCUUCUAGGACUAGCUGUGUGCUUUCUGGAAAGUUCUUAACCCUCUCUGUUCUUCACUUUGUUCAUCCUCAGAACAGGGAUAAUAACAACUUCCACAGAGGGCCGUGGGUCCCGACUCUGGGCCCAGUGAAUGUCAGCUUUGGGGUGGGAUCCACGUGACCACCUGUGUAUAGCUUUCUUGUGUUGUGUGUGUGUGUGUGUGUGUGUGUGUGUGUGUGUGUGCGGUGUUGGUAACCAGGCAGGAAGGAGGUUGAUGCAAAGCCCCUUUAUUGGCAUGGCCCAUACGUCCAGAGAAAGGAUUGAGAGCUUAGCAGCAGCGAGGAAGCCUAAGGGUUUCCCGGAGUCCGGCUGGUGCAGAGACAUCAAAGGUGGCUGGAGUUAUCACUUCCCAUGAGCCCGACAACUGGCGACUCUGUAAACCAACAUGAUAUCAGCUACUUUGUUCAGCCACCCCACCUGUGAACAUCUUCUGCCUGCAAAGCUUCUCUGUUGUUCCCCAAGGUCACCUGCUCCCAACGGGACCUGGGGGCGUGACAGAGAACACCAAAGAACUUCCUGAAUGAAGCUGGCAGUCACACACAGGGGACUGGACAGGGCCUAUUGGUGCUUUCACAUUUAUACCCUAAGUCCUGGGGCAGCUGCUGACCCCAGUCACACAGCAUCUCUGUUCUGGACUCUUUUCUGUCCUCUCCACUCUCUUCUUCGUUCCUUUCCUCUUUUUUCCCCCAGAGUCUGUACCUUGUCCAGCCAGGAAUUAUCUCAGAUCUGACCCUGCCCUUGAAGAGGUCCUGGGGUCCAGGACACACCCAUCCUGAAGGCUGUGCCCUUUAGAGGUGUGGUCAGGGCAUUCAGGACAGGAACAGAGCUUGUGGACCAGUGUUCCAGGACAUGGAUCCUUUGCUGAAAGACUAAGAAGUCCCCUUUUAAGCUCUUUUAAUAUCAAGGCUGCAGGAUCAUUGAUACAACCCAGGGCUCAGUCUUUUGGGGCAGAGACUCUCAAAGUAGGGGCCUCUUUGAUACCUAUCGCUCAGCGUCACACUGGAGGGUUUUUUGUUUUUUCUGUUUUUGUUUGUCGUGUCUUCAGAGAGCCUGUAGUUCAACGGUUUUCAGCACCCAAUGCCUCUGUCCAGAAUUGAAGGUGGAACCCAGAAACGUCAUAAGAUGACUCCCUGCGCAAUUGUGUGUAAGAACCACUGGCCCAGGGCUCAGCUUUGGUGGAAUCAUGACAAAAGAGUCCAGGGGUUGACACUUGGAAAUGGGAGUUGCUGAAUGGCUAUAGUUUUUACAAAGAAACACUGGGAAAGACAGAGAAAGAAGAAAGAUAAAGAACUAGGUAGGGCUCCCCUCUGGGGAGAGAAGCAACGGAGGAGGGGGUCCUGGAAAUCAAACUUCCAGUGCUGAGGAGGUGGUGGAUGCAGCCAGGUUCCUGUGUUCUCAAUUUGACCCCCACAUCUGAAUGAGGGUCAGUUUCAGAAGGGCAAGGAUAAUUGACUGAGGGUGGGGGAAGCCCUUUGGGCAUCCAUUUCCGCAGCGGAGAAAAGCAUCCUGUGACUGCUUGUUGGAAACCCGGGGAAAGAAAUCCUGAGAAGGCUCUCCCAUAUCUCCGCCCUUCUCAUGUAAAUGCAAGUGUUGCCGGGACUUUGUAGCACUCUCUUUUUCUUUUUUUCCUUUUAGUUCUGAAGUAUUCCAACCUUACAGCAAGAUACAAGUAGGGACAAGACAAGAGCCAUGUACCUACCCCAACAAAUGGCAGAUGCUAGCAUUAUGCUGCAUUUACAUCAGAUUCUAAAAACAAACAGAAACAACAACAACAACAAAAACAACAACAGCAAAACCCAACGCCUGAAGUCCCUUCGUGUCGCUUUCUCUCCAAAUACACAGCCGCUGGUCUGCACUCCUUGGAUAAUUUUCUCACACAUGUGCUCGCCCCAUAUUACUCAUAAAUGACAACUAGCAGUACUUCGAGCGAGAGCUUUUUAUUUUGCAUAUGCGGUGUCAGAGUGACCCUAUCGUCUGAGAACUCGCUGUGUAUUUUAAAAUCUAGUAUUGUGUUUCCAAGCACACUGAUUUACUUCUGAAUAACUGGACAGCACAGGAAAACCACAGUUCAUGCCCCCACUUUCCGAUGGACAUUUCAGUUUGCCCCAGCCUGGAUACAGCCUGUUCCUUCAGAAACUCGUGUUGGAAUUUGAUUGCUGUCACAUCAGGGUUUGUCAGUCAGGGGCCUCCACCCGUGUGAAUGGCUUAAUCCAUUCAUGCUCUACUAGGUCAGCUCAAGAAUGGCUUCCUUAUAAAGGCGAGUCUCAUUUGGAGGGGCAAUGCAUGUGGGUUAUUCCAGUGUAGGCUCAAGCAAGAGGAUCCUGAGUUUGAAGCUGGCAGCACCUGCCUUAGUCACCGUUCUAUUGCUGGGAAGACCAUCCGUGGCCCAGGCAACUCUCCCAGAAGAAAGCAUUUAAUUGGGAGCUUUCAGAGGUUUUGUUUAUUACCCUCUGGGAACAUGGUGGAAUACAUGCAGGCAUGGUGCUGGAGAAGUAGCUGAAAGCUACAUUCUGAUCCAUAGAAAAAGAGAGAGAGAAUGGACCUGGAAUGAACUUUUGAAGACUCAACCCCCACGUACACACACAUGCACAUACACACGUACACACACACACACACACACACACACACACACACGACAUACAUCCUCCAAUCCUUCUAAUCCUAUCAAACUCACUUCCUCCUAGUGACUAGAAUUCAAAUAUUUGAGCCUAUAGGGGCCAUUCUUAUUCAAACAGCAGCAGCAAUUUAGCAAGAUCUAUCUCAAGGUAAAAUAAGCACAAUGGCUGGAGAUGAAGGUCCUUGAUUGAAUCUCCAGUACCAUUAAACCAAACAAAGACUGCAACAAAAAUAAAUAUAUAGGUAAGAAUGGUAGUAGUAAGAUGCCUUAGCCCAACAGCCAGAUUGGAUUUCAGGAACUUACAUGCUGGAAGAGAACUCAGUUGUCCUCUGACUAUCACAUACAUGCAGAGGCAUGUGUGGCUGACCAUCACACACAUGCAGUGCCACGUGUGGCUGCGUUGUCACUCCUUGCUGUUGCAUAUUUGCACGUGCACACAGACAUACACAUUAAAUAAACACUAAACCACAGCUAAGAAAAACAGAAUAUCAACAGAGAAAGCAGUGAGCUCUCUGACUAGCUUCCUCUUUCUUACCUGAGAUGUGCUCUGCCAUGUUUUGAUACAGCAGGAAGACCCUGUUCUGUACAGUUCAGAGAAUGAUCUCCAGGGACCAUGCUAGUAAGCAAAAGGAGGGAGGGAGGGAGAGAGAGAGAGAGAGAGAGAGAGAGAGAGAGAGAGAGAGAGAGAGAGAGAGAGAGAGAGAGAGAAACAGCAGUUUAACAUCAUCAAAUCUGGCGUCUCCAUCAUCUGGCUGGUGUGGUCCGAUUGGACAAGCAGACAAAGGUAGCAUCAUGGAGUUGGUGCUUACACCAGCAAAAAUGGAAUGGGGACGUUGAAGCUCCUGACUGAGCUUGCUUUCCAGGGAAGAGAUCCUUGCCACUUGGGAAGCCUUUACCUCACAGCUGUUGUUCUCAAGGUCUCGGUGCUUUUAGUACCCUUGGCUGCCUGCUGAUUCCUGUUCUCUUUGUUACAGAACCAGGCUGACUCAAGACAAGGAGUUUGGAGAGACAAGGGAAGGCAUCUUUGCUUCACAGACAUGCAGAGGCAUGUGCGUCUGACCAUCACAUACAUGCAGAGGCACAUGUGGCUGCAUUUUCACUCCUUGCUGCUUCAUGUUUGCAUAUGCACACAGAAUACACAUUAAAUAAACACUAAACCAAAGCUAAGAAAAACAACAACGACAGAAAAGGCAGUGAGCUCUCUGACUACUUUCCUCUUUCUUACCUGAGGUGUGCUAAGAGUCUACUUUCAAGAAAUUUAGGAAAACAUGGCAAUUUAUCAAUAUAAUAUGUAUUUCAGAUCCUUACCAGGUGACAGGCAGGUGUCAGCAACAUGCUAUGUACUCCUCAGACUCAAGAAUUAUAAGCUUAAUAAACCUAUAUUCUUCAUAAAUUAGUGAGUCCUAGAUAUUUUUUAAAAAGUAACACAAAAAUGGACUAAAAUUUUUUUCUGAUUUGUCACGAUGACUUUCAAUAAAUAUCUUCAGCCAUG